GUCUGUGGGUUGCAAAAACUACAGGAAAAGGGAGAAGCACGGUAUCUGAGUGCCAAAGUGGUUGGAAAUGCCCCUUAUGGUCUCCCUUGGGUAGUGGGGAGGGGUACUUUGGUCCACUGCACUUUCUUGGUGAAGCAGUGCCCCACCCUGCCUCUGCUCACUCUCUUUGGGCUACACCCACUGUUCAACCAGUCUCCUUAAGAUGUCAGAUACUUCUGUUGCAAAUGCAGAGAUCGCUUGCCCUCCACGUUGCUUUCCCUGUGAACGGUGCUCUGGAGCUGCUCCUAUUUGGCCAUCUUGGUGGCUCCCUCGAAGUACCACACCUUCUAUGUAACCCACUAUAGUACUUCCUGAGUGGGCAGGAAGUUUGCAAUACUAUGGAGGCUGGAGAUGGAGGAAGUGAAUGACAACUUCACACCAUCAUGUAACUUAACCAUCUUAUUGGGAAUUCCUGUCUCUCACCAAAGGACAGACCUGAAGUUAUAGAAAAAAAAGAGUAAAACUAAAAAACGCUAAAUGCCUAAAAUACUAUUAGAAUAUGUUUGGUAUAUGAUUACCACAUUCAGCAGGACAACACAAAACAAAAACAAAACAAGAUGCCUAUGUUAAAUGUGAAUAUCAGAUAAACAAUAAAUGUUUAAAUGAAA